rnacentral:rRNA from 1 species
GGAAGUAAAAGUCGUAACAAGGUUUCCGUAGGUGAACCUGCGGAAGGAUCAUUAGAGUGAGCCUGCGCUUCGGUGCGCGGCAGACUUACACGGUGGGAAGAUUUGGGGGGAUUGCUUUGGGUGUGGCGGUGCCGUCAGCUGGAUGCCGUCAGGCAGACAGUUGGCCGGCUGCCCGCCCAGAGACCAAACACGAGAGUAAUCUUUAGAAAGACCAGUCAGAUAAACCACAAAUUUAUCAAAACUUUCAACAACGGAUCUCUUGGUUCUCGCAACGAUGAAGAACGCAGCGAAUUGCGAUAAGUAUUGUGAAUUGCAGAUUUUCGUGAAUCAUCGAAUCUUUGAACGCACAUUGCACCCUCUGGCAUUCCAGAGGGUAUGCCUGUUUGAGCGUCAUUUCUCUCUCUGGGCGUUAGCCUGGGUAUUGGCGCGAGACCCCCCUGCCUGGGGUGGGUCCGCCCGAAAUAGACGCUGGCCAGAGUCCCAGCCCCCUCCUGCGCGCCGCUAGAGCCUGUGGUGAAUGUACUAGGUAUUGCCAUCUCAUUCCAACAGCAACAGCGGCCAGGGGGCUUACCAGAGUGGACCCGGCACAACAACACCUUCCUAAAGGUUGACCUCAAAUCAGGUAGGACUACCCGCUGAACUUAAGCAUAUCAAUAAGCGGAGGA